CUCUUCAUUGCUGAAGACCGUGUCUAGUA
rnacentral:sRNA from 1 species